rnacentral:rRNA from 1 species
UACGUAGGGUGCAAGCGUUAAUCGGAAUUACUGGGCGUAAAGCGUGCGCAGGCGGUUUUGUAAGUCUGAUGUGAAAUCCCCGGGCUCAACCUGGGAAUUGCAUUGGAGACUGCAAGGCUAGAAUCUGGCAGAGGGGGGGUAGAAUUCCACGUGUGAGCAGUGAAAUGCGUAGAGAUGUGGAGGAACACCGAUGGCGAAGGCAGCCCCCUGGGUCAAGAUUGACGCUCAUGCACAAAAGCGUGGGGAGCAAACAGG